GACGAACGCUGGCGGCGUGCCUAACACAUGCAAGUCGAACGAAGCUUGACGAACGAUUCUUCGGAUGAAUUCUGAUAUGACUGAGUGGCGGACGGGUGAGUAACGCGUGAGGAACCUGCCUUGAAGAGGGGGACAACAGUUGGAAACGACUGCUAAUACCGCAUGACGCAUAGAGGUCGCAUGAUCUUUAUGCCAAAGAUUUAUCGCCUCAAGAUGGCCUCGCGUCUGAUUAGCUAGUUGGCGGGGUAACGGCCCACCAAGGCGACGAUCAGUAGCCGGACUGAGAGGUUGAACGGCCACAUUGGGACUGAGAUACGGCCCAGACUCCUACGGGAGGCAGCAGUGGGGAAUAUUGGGCAAUGGGCGCAAGCCUGACCCAGCAACGCCGCGUGAAGGAAGAAGGCUUUCGGGUUGUAAACUUCUUUUAAGAGGAAGAGCAGAAGACGGUACCUCUAGAAUAAGCCACGGCUAACUACGUGCCAGCAGCCG
rnacentral:rRNA from 1 species